rnacentral:rRNA from 1 species
GCCUACGGGGCGCAGCAGUGGGGGAUAUUGGCCAAUGGGGGGAACCCUGAUCCAGCGACGCCGCGUGAGUGAAGAAGUAUUUCGGUAUGUAAAGCUCUGUCAGCAGGGAAGAAAGAAAUGACGGUACCUGACCAAGAAGCCCCGGCUAACUACGUGCCAGCAGCCGCGGUAAUACGUAGGGGGCAAGCGUUAUCCGGAAUUACUGGGUGUAAAGGGAGCGUAGACGGUUAAGUAAGUCUGGAGUGAAGGGCCGGGGCCCAACCCCGGGACUGCUCUGGAAACUAUUGAACUU